UAGGGAAUCUUGCGCAAUGGGCGAAAGCCUGACGCAGCCAUGCCGCGUGAAUGAUGAAGGUCUUAGGAUUGUAAAAUUCUUUCACCGGGGAAGAUAAUGACGGUACCCGGAGAAGAAGCCCCGGCUAACUUCGUGCCAGCAGCCGCGGUAAUACGAAGGGGGCUAGCGUUGCUCGGAAUUACUGGGCGUAAAGGGCGCGUAGGCGGAUAUUUAAGUUGGGGGUGAAAGCCCGGGGCUCAACCUCGGAAUAGCCUUCAAUACUGGAUAUCUUGAGUUCGGGAGAGGUGAGUGGAAUGCCGAGUGUAGAGGUGAAAUUCGUAGAUAUUCGGCGGAACACCAGUGGCGAAGGCGACUCACUGGCCCGAUACUGACGCUGAGGCGCGAAAGCGUGGGGAGCAAACAGGAUUAGAUACCCUGGUAGUCCACGCCGUAAACGAUGAGUGCUAGUUGUCGGCGUGCAUGCAUGUCGGUGACGCAGCUAACGCAUUAAGCACUCCGCCUGGGGAGUACGGUCGCAAGAUUAAAACUCAAAUGAAUUGAC
rnacentral:rRNA from 1 species